AUUUGACCAAGAAUCAGGAGCUUUGAAGGCACAAGGCAGUUCACUGGUCUCAAGUCAAAGUUGUCAGUAUUGCGAGUGCAUACCUACAUCAAUUGAAGGUCUUCCAACCAAGAGCGCGCCAGCUGUGACCAGCCAGCUGAUGCAGAGGGCACAUCAGGAGAAGCCGUCCUGGCUCAUCACACAACGGCCGUGCCGUCCGCUGCCGGUUCCGUGUUGGAACCCGGAGCGCUGGUGUGGCCUCCGCUCGCAUCUCUGAACCUCUCCAGCCGCAUCCAGUCACCGGGACCGCGGCCGCCCAUGAGGACGUCAUUAGAGAGCAGAAGGAGCUGCGCGCACGGCUGCAGCAGUUCAUGGGCGGCGGCGCUGUGGACUCUGCCGAGCACGAGAAGCUGCCGCCCCGACCGAGCUGAGCGGUCCGCUCGCCCUGGCCGAGGUGGCGAGCUAGCAGGCCGCCCAGCGGAUACUGUCGCUGAUCGAGCAGAUCGGCGCCAGCGAGUACGUGGACGGACACGCGGCUCCGCUGCACGUGUGCCAGCACUGCGGCGCCCGCGGCAAGCGCGUCCCAUAAUAGUUGGACCAGACUGUGCAAAACCGCCUAUAUUAAACCGUUUCAGUGUCUGACACUGUGUGAUGGGGCCGACUGCGUCCCCGACUGGGCGAGUGAACGAUUCGCCUCCGCAGCGGGGCAUAUACUGCUCAGAAUGGUUGGCGAGUCGUCUUCAGCGAGUUUCGAGGAAAUUAUUAGCGUGUUGCCAUGUUGGGGGCGGAUCGGCGUCUGUCUGGGUGGUUACGUUUGGAAUUGUUUCAUUGUUUAUUUUACAUCACAAUGCAUGAAUUUCUUGGUGAUAAACAUAUGCACGGUGUACUUCAUCAGCGACACCACGACGCACCUGAACGUGCGGUCAGCGGCCGGCUGCGUCCCUUUCCUACCCCACCCGCCAAAAUUUCUGAAAAUGUGUGCUUUGGUCCGGUCGGAAACAAUCCUUGCUUUUACAAAAUUUGUGAUUUAUUCAUAAUUCAUGGCCAGCAAUAGCAUAAUUACCUUAUCAUUAGUAGAAUAACAGCUGUUGGAAUUGCAUCGUAGCUAUCAGAGCGAUUCCGGUUAAACUUCAAACACUUGUCUCAAACGAUCUCAGAUGUGCGGACUAGCAAAUAAAGCAACGACACACCUU
rnacentral:lncRNA from 1 species